rnacentral:miRNA from 1 species
CAAUACCCUGGAUUCCAGAGCCUUCAGUAAAUAAUAAAUUGAAACGACGUUUCAAUUUAUUAUUUACUGAAGGCUCUGGAAUCCAGGGUACAA